AGCAACUCCCGAGUAAUACUCGUAUGUUUUCGCUCCAAAUCUCACACUCCAGCAAAUCGCUCCAAAUCCCCAAUUCGACUCCAGCAAAUCGGUCUUCCCUUCACCAAAUCACCACUCCAGCAAAUCAACAAAUCAAUUAAGUGUGAAAUUGCACCAAAUCUCAAACCUUCGUCGCCGCCCCAGCCUUGUACGACCGCCGCUCCAGCCCCCUCCGGCCGCCGCCGCUCUCCCCGCCCCAUCUCCUUCGAUCGACAGCCCGCCGCCCUCACCUAGCCUUUCGUCGCCGCCCCAGCCUUCUACGGCCGCUGCUCCAGCCCCCUCCGGCCGCCGCCGCUCUCCCCGCCCCAUCUCCUUCGAUCGACAGCCGGCCGCCCUCACCUAGCCUUUCAUCGCCGCCCCAGCCUUCUACGGCCGCCGCUCCAGCCCCCUCCGGCCGCCGCCGCUCUCCCCGCCCCGUCUCCUUCGAUCGACAGCCCACCGCCCUCACCUAACCUUUCCCGGACUACUCCGCAGCAGCAGCAGCAGUUUCCAACGCCCAAGUUCCCAACUAAAGGGUGCUGAACUUGCUGCAUAGGAAGGAAAGAGUGCAGCAGCAUUGGCAGCUUGUACGACGUUCGUUGAAGAUCUAACUGAGCUGCGUUUUCCAGCUCCUAGGAUUCUUGCAUUUAAGUCAAGCUCUCGGAUGCCUUCUCUUACAACUCCUGUUGGUCCUGGAAAUAAUUCCAAGGCUCCCCCAAAAAAGCCUCUGGUUGGCCAGAAGAAGCCAAUGGAAGCUCCUGGUUCUUCACCUCCAUCAAGGUGUCUGGAUCCCUUGUUGAUCAAAGCAUCGAGCAUCUCAACGAUUUGACUGCAGUGAGCGGAGUUAAUCUCAGGGAGAAGGAGGAACAACUAUUUUCUGGAUCCAAGGAAGACAGCCGCGUUUCAGAGGCAUCUCGACGGGUUGUUCAAGAAGAAGAAGAGAAAUUGAUAUUGCAUAAGAUCCCACUUCAGAAAAUGAUGGUGGAGAUAAGUGACAAUAACAGUUAGCAGGAAGAUAGGAAGCUAGAUGUGGCAUUUUGGUUGGUGUUUUGUAUGUCUUUUGAAUCUGGAAAAAAUGUAAGAAUUUGGUGAAGCAAGUGUUGAACACCAUUUUUUUGUUAAUAUUGUUUGGAUGUAAAUUACAUGACUACUUUAGGUACUUUGAAGCUACAAUGUAUGGAAGUUUAAGUUAUGUUAUAUAAUAUGUUUUGGAUUGUAUUA